ensembl:lncRNA
UGACAUCACAAAACCCCAUACUUGGGCUGGAACUGUUAGAAAUGUUCAAGUGCAUGUGGGGAAGUAAAACUGUAACCAUGUGGCUUUGGGAAGUCAUAGCAUGCCCAGCCUAUUACUUGCUUCAGUAGCUGGGUGCAACUAGAUCAGCAUUCAUAAAAACAACAAGCUGGCUGAGAAACAAGGAUACUUGAAUUCCUACUUCUUGGAACCUAUGCAGGAACUUCUGUCAACCUACUACAAGAUCCACUUACCCCCAGCUGAGGUCAGCAAAGAGAUCACUGAGGAGAGACUGCACUGAAUUCAGUUUCCUUGUGGAAGCAAAUGUCCAGCAGCUGAUGGGAGCAGUCAUAUACACUACCUAUUUCUUCCUGUCUCCAGCAGAAAGGUUUUGAUUGUCAGCUGGGAUCGAUGGGGGAUGACAAUGAUUUAAUACUGUGGGACCUGGAAGUCCCAGCUGGAAUCGCUUGGUUCUCAGUGCACCAAAUGGUGCUGAGCAGCAGACCCUCCUCUGAGAGCUUUACAGUCCCUGGCCCCCAUCCUGCAGCAGCUCUAUGCCUUGCUUAUUUUUACUAAUCUGCCUAAAAUUAAACAUGGGUAAAUAUUUACCAGACUGAAACACAAAUGGACAGAACAGGCAAAAAGAAUGAGAGCCUGGAAGAAUUAUCCUCAUUUCGCAGCUGCCCUGAUCUGCUGGCUCGGAGUUUAUCUGUGCAUAAAGGCAGCAUAAAUCACUCCUGAUCUGGAUCAGAUGUGUCCUGCUGGGCAAGCAGCAGAGCACAGAUCGAAGAUUAAUGAUCACCAAAGCAGAGACCUGGGCCACUCCACCAGGAGAAGAUGAAGCACCCUCUGGGGGGACUCAGUCUCUCUCCCCGCUUACAGCAGGAGCUGCAGAAAGCUUGGAGGAGACACCAAAUUUGAGACGGCUGAAGUUAGGUCAGAUGAAUUUCCCUCCUGAGAAGCUCAGUGACUUGACCAAAAUCAAACAUGAAGUUUUGGGCAUAAAUUAGAUCCUGUACUUGUGGAAGUAUAGGAAUAGGGUUUUUCAGGCUGUGGAAAUGUAUCAGUAAUGCAACUGAAAUUUCACAGGUUCAGAGCUAACUGUUCAUGCUGCCAUUCGUACGCAUUCUCUGAGCGUGUAUACACAUCAGUGUUAAUUUUGCAGGCCCGUUUUUGGCCACUGCUGGCCAAUAGAAAGAUCUAUACAAUAGAAACAAA